GGUAACAAUCCUGGUUAAAGGUAACAAUCCUGGUGGUUAGAGGUAACAAUCAUGGUUAUAGGUAACAAUCCUGGUUAGAGGUAACAAUCCUGGUUAUAGGUAACAAUCCUGGUUAUAGGUAACAAUCAUGGUUAGAGGUAACAAUCCUGGUUAUAGGUAACAAUCCUGGUUAGAGGUAACAAUCCUGGUUAUAGGUAACAAUCAUGGUUAGAGGUAACAAUCAUGGUUAGAGGUAACAAUCCUGGUUAUAGGUAACAAUCCUGG